rnacentral:rRNA from 1 species
GACGAACGCUGGCGGCGUGCUUAACACAUGCAAGUCGAACGGAAAGGCCCUGCUUUUGUGGGGUGCUCGAGUGGCGAACGGGUGAGUAACACGUGAGUAACCUGCCCUUGACUUUGGGAUAACUUCAGGAAACUGGGGCUAAUACCGGAUAGGAGCUCCUGCUGCAUGGUGGGGGUUGGAAAGUUUCGGCGGUUGGGGAUGGACUCGCGGCUUAUCAGCUUGUUGGUGGGGUAGUGGCUUACCAAGGCUUUGACGGGUAGCCGGCCUGAGAGGGUGACCGGCCACAUUAGGACUGAGAUACGGCCCAGACUCCUACGGGAGGCAACAGUGGGGAAUAUUGCACAAUGGGCGGAAGCCUGAUGCAACAACGCCGCGUGCGGGAUGACGGCCUUCGGGUUGUAAACCGCUUUCGCCUGUGACGAAGCGUGAGUGACGGUAAUGGGUAAAGAAGCACCGGCUAACUACGUG